rnacentral:lncRNA from 1 species
UUACUGCUACAAUUGUGUAAAAAGAAAAGAAAGAAAAAAGAAAAAAAACAGGAAAGGAAAAGAAAAAAAAUAGAAACAAAGAAAAAAAUAGGGGUUGUUCCUUUCGUUCCUCUUUGCUUUUGGUGGUGCUUUGUGACUUCAUUUGUGUCCAGGCUCGCGUCUCUAGCACGGUCUAGCCUAGGACUAGCACAGUACUGCUGUUAACUUGCUUUUGUGACUAACAUGGUGCUAGUAUUUUCCCUUACUUCAGCCCACCUACAGCUCCACAUAUUCGACUAUAG